GACGAACGCUGGCGGCGUGCUUAACACAUGCAAGUCGAACGGAAAGGCCCUGCUUUUGUGGGGUGCUCGAGUGGCGAACGGGUGAGUAACACGUGAGUAACCUGCCCUUGACUUUGGGAUAACUUCAGGAAACUGGGGCUAAUACCGGAUAGGAGCUCCUGCUGCAUGGUGGGGGUUGGAAAGUUUCGGCGGUUGGGGAUGGACUCGCGGCUUAUCAGCUUGAUGGUGGGGUAGUGGCUUACCAAGGCUUUGACGGGUAGCAGGCCUGAGAGGGUGACCGGCCACAUUAGGACUGGGAUGCGGCCCAGACUCCUACGGGACGCGGCGGUGGGGAAUAUUGCACAAUGGGCGGAAGCCUGAUGCAGCAACGCCGCGUGCGGUGUGACGGCAAUCGGGUUGUAAACCGCUUCCGCCUGUGACGAAGCGUUAGUGACGGUAAUGGGUAAAGAAGCACCGGCUAACUACGUG
rnacentral:rRNA from 1 species